rnacentral:rRNA from 1 species
AGUGAACGCUGGCGGUAGGCCUAACACAUGCCAGUCGAACGGCAGCACAGUAAGAGCUUGCUCUUACGGGUGGCGAGUGGCGGACGGGUGAGGAAUACAUCGGAAUCUACUUUUUCGUGGGGGAUAACGUAGGGAAACUUACGCUAAUACCGCAUACGACCUACGGGUGAAAGCAGGGGAUCUUCGGACCUUGCGCGAUUGAAUGCGCCGAUGUCGGAUUAGCUAGUUGGCGGGGUAAAGGCCCACCAAGGCGACGAUCCGUAGCUGGUCUGAGAGGAUGAGCAGCCACACUGGAACUGAGACACGGUCCAGACUCCUACGGGAGGCAGCAGUAGGGAAUAUUGGACAAUGGGCGCAAGCCUGAUCCAGCCAUACCGCGUGGGUGAAGAAGGCCUUCGGGUUGUAAAGCCCUUUUGUUGGGAAAGAAAAGCAGCAGGUUAAUACCCCGCUGUUCUGACGGUACCCAAAGAAUAAGCACCGGCUAACUUCGUG